UAAGCUUCCUGCCUGCCUGCACACUGA
rnacentral:piRNA from 1 species